rnacentral:rRNA from 1 species
GAUGAACGCUAGCUACAGGCUUAACACAUGCAAGUCGAGGGACCGGCGAACGGGUGAGUAACACGUAUCCAACCUGGCCUUUACUCGGGGAUAGCCUUUCGAAAGAACGAUUAAUACCCGAUGUCAAGGAUGGGGAUGCGUUCCAUUAGGUUUUUGGGGAGGUAACGGCUCACGAAGCCUUCGAUGGAUAGGGGUUCUGAGAGGAAGGCCCCCCGAGUUGGAACUGAGGCACGGUCCAAACUCCUACGGGAGGCAGCAGUGAGGAAUAGUGGUCAAUGGGCGUUAGCCUGAACCAGCCAAGUAGCGUGAAGGAUGAAGGCUUAUUGGUCGUAAACUUCUUUUAUAUAAGAAUAUGUAUUAUAUGAAUAAGGAUCGGCUAACUCCGUGCCAGCAGCCGCGGUAAUAC